rnacentral:tRNA from 1 species
GGAGAGAUGGCAGAGUGGUCGAUCGCGGCGGUCUUGAAAACCGUUGUACCGCAAGGUACCGGGGGUUCGAAUCCCUCUCUCUCCG